UAUGCUUCUAGGUUUCCCCUCCAGCCCUCCACCCGCAGAGCGUAGGGAGCUGGAACGGGUCCUGAGCCAGGACGAAGGGAACAGAGUACACAGAUGAGGGCUACAAACACUAUGAGCAUGCCAGAAUUCCGGUGCAGAGAAAAAUGCCUACGUAAACCAUCAUUUUUGGUUAAAACAACAAGAGCUUAGUACCUCUUAAACUUGGUAGAAGUGGUGUACUACAUAGAGCAUCCUGUAUUUCUAGCAUGUGCCUGGAGCACCCCACCCCCUCGAGCCUCAGCUCUCUUUCUUCAUCUGUCUAUCCAAGCCCAGAGGAGCCUCAGGACACUAUGUGAAGAUGCAAUACAGCCCAAGCUCCCGCUGCUGUGACUUUGCCUGCAAUGAUGGACUACACCCAUCGACCAAGCACUGAAAAAAGCCACCACACUGGUGAGUUACUUUUGUCAGACUCUUGUCUCACAGCCACAGGAAAAGAAACUA